GGGUAUGUGGCUCAGUGGUAGAGUGCUUUUCUGGCAUGCAUGAGGCCUUGGGUUUGAUUCCCUGCACCCU
rnacentral:tRNA from 1 species